rnacentral:tRNA from 1 species
ACGGGUGUAGCUCAGCUGGUAGAGCAGCGGUCUCCAAAACCGAAGGUCGUGAGUUCGAUCCUUACCACCCGUG